CAAGAAAAGAACACUUUAUUGAGUGUAGCUCUUGAUACUUCAGGGUUUCCAGGGAUAGAAGGAGUAUACUUGGAUAAAACAGGAAGCAUCCCUGUAAGAAUUCCUCUGAAUUAUCUUCUCAUGCCAAGAUUAUACAGAAUGCUCAUUUCUUUCAAGCCUCAGCCCAGACACCAACUACUGGAAGAUGUCUUUCCACUUCUCCAGCUAGAACUUGAGACUCAAGAGGAAGGAAGAUAACAAAAAGGUGAGCAAGAACAAUUUAUGUCUUUUGGUGGUGACAAUAUCUUUCAACUCACUACACAAUGAGAAGCUACAAAGGUCUUUGAGGAAGUAUUGAAGCAUGGUGAACAUACCCAUUUGUAAUUGGAAGAUUAAAUGAUCCCUUUAUUCAAAAG
rnacentral:lncRNA from 1 species